UUAAAUUGAAGAGUUUGAUCAUGGCUCAGAUUGAACGCUGGCGGCAGGCCUAACACAUGCAAGUCGAACGGUAACAGGAAGCAGCUUGCUGCUUUGCUGACGAGUGGCGGACGGGUGAGUAAUGUCUGGGAAACUGCCUGAUGGAGGGGGAUAACUACUGGAAACGGUGGCUAAUACCGCAUAACGUCGCAAGACCAAAGAGGGGGACCUUCGGGCCUCUUGCCAUCAGAUGUGCCCAGAUGGGAUUAGCUUGUUGGUGAGGUAACGGCUCACCAAGGCGACGAUCCCUAGCUGGUCUGAGAGGAUGACCAGCCACACUGGAACUGAGACACGGUCCAGACUCCUACGGGAGGCAGCAGUGGGGAAUAUUGCACAAUGGGCGCAAGCCUGAUGCAGCCAUGCCGCGUGUAUGAAGAAGGCCUUCGGGUUGUAAAGUACUUUCAGCGGGGAGGAAGGUGUUGUGGUUAAUAACCGCAGCAAUUGACGUUACCCGCAGAAGAAGCACCGGCUAACUCCGUGCCAGCAGCCGCGGUAAUACGGAGGGUGCAAGCGUUAAUCGGAAUUACUGGGCGUAAAGCGCACGCAGGCGGUCUGUCAAGUCGGAUGUGAAAUCCCCGGGCUCAACCUGGGAACUGCAUUCGAAACUGGCAGGCUUGAGUCUUGUAGAGGGGGGUAGAAUUCCAGGUGUAGCGGUGAAAUGCGUAGAGAUCUGGAGGAAUACCGGUGGCGAAGGCGGCCCCCUGGACAAAGACUGACGCUCAGGUGCGAAAGCGUGGGGAGCAAACAGGAUUAGAUACCCUGGUAGUCCACGCCGUAAACGAUGUCUACUUGGAGGUUGUGCCCUUGAGGCGUGGCUUCCGGAGCUAACGCGUUAAGUAGACCGCCUGGGGAGUACGGCCGCAAGGUUAAAACUCAAAUGAAUUGACGGGGGCCCGCACAAGCGGUGGAGCAUGUGGUUUAAUUCGAUGCAACGCGAAGAACCUUACCUGGUCUUGACAUCCACAGAACUUUCCAGAGAUGGAUUGGUGCCUUCGGGAACUGUGAGACAGGUGCUGCAUGGCUGUCGUCAGCUCGUGUUGUGAAAUGUUGGGUUAAGUCCCGCAACGAGCGCAACCCUUAUCCUUUGUUGCCAGCGGUCCGGCCGGGAACUCAAAGGAGACUGCCAGUGAUAAACUGGAGGAAGGUGGGGAUGACGUCAAGUCAUCAUGGCCCUUACGACCAGGGCUACACACGUGCUACAAUGGCGCAUACAAAGAGAAGCGACCUCGCGAGAGCAAGCGGACCUCAUAAAGUGCGUCGUAGUCCGGAUUGGAGUCUGCAACUCGACUCCAUGAAGUCGGAAUCGCUAGUAAUCGUGGAUCAGAAUGCCACGGUGAAUACGUUCCCGGGCCUUGUACACACCGCCCGUCACACCAUGGGAGUGGGUUGCAAAAGAAGUAGGUAGCUUAACCUUCGGGAGGGCGCUUACCACUUUGUGAUUCAUGACUGGGGUGAAGUCGUAACAAGGUAACCGUAGGGGAACCUGCGGUUGGAUCACCUCCUUACCU
rnacentral:rRNA from 5 species